rnacentral:rRNA from 1 species
UACGUAGGCAGCAAGCGUUGUUCGGAUUUACUGGGCGUAAAGGGUGUGUAGGCGGUUCUCUAAGUUUGGUGUGAAAUCUCCCGGCUCAACUGGGAGGGUGCGCCGAAAACUGGAGAGCUAGAGUACUGGAUGGGAGAGUGGAAUUCCUGGUGUAGCGGUGAAAUGCGUAGAUAUCAGGAGGAACACCGGUGGUGUAGACGGCUCUCUGGACAGUAACUGACGCUGAGACACGAAAGCGUGGGUAGCAAACAGG